rnacentral:rRNA from 1 species
GACGAACGCUGGCGGCGUGCUUAACACAUGCAAGUCGAACGGUGAAGGGACCAGCUUGCUGGUUCUGGAUGAGUGGCGAACGGGUGAGUAACACGUGAGUAACCUGCCCCCUUCUUCUGGAUAACCGCAUGAAAGUGUGGCUAAUACGGGAUAUUCUGGGUCUGUCGCAUGGCGGGCCCGGGAAAGAUAUUGCUUCGGUGGGGGAUGGGCUCGCGGCCGAUCAGCUUGUUGGUGGGGUGAUGGCCUACCAAGGCGGUGACGGGUAGCCGGCCUGAGAGGGUGGACGGUCACACUGGGACUGAGACACGGCCCAGACUCCUACGGGAGGCAGCAGUGGGGAAUAUUGCACAAUGGGCGCAAGCCUGAUGCAGCGACGCCGCGUGAGGGAUGGAGGCCUUCGGGUUGUAAACCUCUUUCGCCAGUGAAGCAGGCCUGCUCCGUGUGGGUGGGUUGACGGUAGCUGGAUAAGAAGCGCCGGCUAACUACGUG